CUAAUCCCAAAACGCCUCUCUCAGUUCGGAUCGAAGUCUGCAACCCGACUUCGUGAAGCUGGAUUCGCUAGUAAUCGCGCAUCAGCCAUGGCGCGGUGAAUACGUUCCCGGGCCUUGUACACACCGCCCGUCAAGCCAUGAAAGCCGGGGGUACCUGAAGUACGUAACCGCAAGGAGCGUCCUAGGGUAAAACUGGUAAUUGGGGCUAAGUCGUAACAAGGUAGC
rnacentral:rRNA from 1 species